rnacentral:ncRNA from 1 species
AGGGAAGAAUGCUGAAAAUCCUUAACAGAGUAGGCA